ACGCCUUAUACAUGCAAGUCGAACGAAGUAGCAAUACUUAGUGGCAGACGGGUGAGUAACAUGUAGGUAUCUUCCCUUUGGUGAGGAAUAACACGAGGAAACUUGUGCUAAUACCUCAUAAGUCUUUACGGAGAAAGCUUUAUGCGCCAUUGGAUGAGCCUGCACUUGAUUAGUUUGUUGGUGGGGUAAUGGCCUACCAAGACUGUGAUCAAUAGCUGAUCUGAGAGGAUGAUCAGCCACAUUGGGACUGAGACACGGCCCAAACUCCUACGGGAGGCAGCAGUAGGGAAUAUUGCACAAUGGAGGAAACUCUGAUGCAGCGAUGCCGCGUGAGUGAAGAAGGCCUUUGGGUUGUAAAGCUCUUUCGUCGGGGAAGAAAAUGACUGUACCCGAAUAAGAAGGUCCGGCUAACUUCGUGCCAGCAGCCGCGGUAAUACGAAGGGACCUAGCGUAGUUCGGAAUUACUGGGCUUAAAGAGUUCGUAGGUUGUUAAAAAAGUUGGUGGUGAAAUCCCAGAGCUCAACUCUGGAACUGCCAUCAAAACUUUUUAGCUAGAGUAUGAUAGAGGAAAGCAGAAUUUCUAGUGUAGAGGUGAAAUUCGUAGAUAUUAGAAAGAAUACCAAUUGCGAAGGCAGCUUUCUGGAUCAUUACUGACGCUGAGGAACGAAAGCAUGGGUAGCGAAGAGGAUUAGAUACCCUCGUAGUCCAUGCCGUAAACGAUGUGUGUUAGACGUUGGAAAUUUAUUUUCAGUGUCGCAGCGAAAGCAGUAAACACACCGCCUGGGGAGUACGACC
rnacentral:rRNA from 1 species